rnacentral:tRNA from 1 species
AGGGAGGUGGCUCAGUGGUAGAGUGCAGAACUUGCAUGUCUGAGGCCUCCCUG